rnacentral:rRNA from 1 species
UACGUAGGGGGCGAGCGUUGUCCGGAUUCAUUGGGCGUAAAGCGCGCGUAGGCGGCUCGACAAGUCGGCCGUGAAAUCUCCAGGCUCAACUUGGGGGGGUCGGACGAGACUGUCGGGCUCGAGGUGGGCAGAGGGCAGUGGAAUUCCGGGUGUAGUGGUGGAAUGCGUAGAGAUCCGGAGGAACACCAGUGGCGAAGGCGGCUGCCUGGGCCUGGCCUGACGCUGAGGCGCGAAAGCGUGGGGAGCGAUCCGG